GAUUCACCGCAUUGGAGUCCAUAUGUGAGGGUUGUAUCUACGUCAGGCCAUCGCGCAGGUCCGUGCACGUGGCGUGCUCCAAGUAGUGCCGAUGUCAUCCUCAAUCUGCUUCGGGACAGAUAUACCAACCUGAUGGAGAAGUGUGCGAAGGGGCGUGCACCAAGGUUUGAUGGCUUGAAGAAGUACACAGCGGAUUGUGCGGACUAGUGUCAUUCGUAUAAUGAGCUCAAUGAGAUGAUUGCCGGUGUUGGCCUCUAAGUGCUGAUGAGAUCUCCUGUUGGUGCUCAUCAGUGGUUGAGGUCGAUCCAUCCCAGGAGACUGAGCUUCAGUAUGUUCCCACGGAAAGAGAGCAAGGGCUUCAAAUUUGAUCAUGUUUUUGGCUGGGCUGAUGAUCAAAGUAUUUACUAUUCCUACUUGGUACAUACCCGUACUUCUGUUUCAAAAUAUGAUAUGUUAUGAAGGCCCAUAGUGUGCACAGGGCUACAAAUAUGUACUGUUAAAUUAAUAAUCCGAUUGAGUGAAUGGCAUAUGCAUUCAUUUCCUGAAUAUAUUUUUA